GGUGAGAAGCCAGAACCAGUACGCACCCACCUCCGCAACAUGAUUAUUGUGCCUGAGAUGAUUGGUAGCAUUAUUGGAGUGUACAAUGGCAAAACCUUUAAUCAGGUUGAAAUCAAACCUGAGAUGAUUGGGCAUUAUCUUGCUGAGUUUUCUAUUUCAUACAAACCCGUUAAGCACGGGAGACCUGGUAUUGGUGCUACUCACUCAUCCAGGUUUAUUCCUCUUAAGUGAAGA
rnacentral:lncRNA from 1 species